ACGAACGCUUGCGGCGUGCUUAACACCUGCAAGUCGAACGGAAAGGCCCUGCUUUUGUGGGGUGCUCGAGUGGCGAACGGGUGAGUAACACGUGAGUAACCUGCCCUUGACUUUGGGAUAACUUCAGGAAACUGGGGCUAAUACCGGAUAGGAGCUCCUGCUGCAUGGUGGGGGUUGGAAAGUUUCGGCGGUUGGGGAUGGACUCGCGGCUUAUCAGCUUGUUGGUGGGGUAGUGGCUUACCAAGGCUUUGACGGGUAGCCGGCCUGAGAGGGUGACCGGCCACAUUGGGACUGAGAUACGGCCCAGACUCCUACGGGAGGCAGCAGUGGGGAAUAUUGCACAAUGGGCGGAAGCCUGAUGCAGCAACGCCGCGUGCGGGAUGACGGCCUUCGGGUUGUAAACCGCUUUCGCCUGUGACGAAGCGUGAGUGACGGUAAUGGGUAAAGAAGCACCGGCUAACUACGUG
rnacentral:rRNA from 1 species